GUUACACUCAGGUAACCAUUCAUUAAAAGUGGUAUGAUACAGAGAAGAUUAGCAAGGCCCUUGCGCAAGGAUGGCACGCAAAAUCGUGAAGCGUUGCACAUUUUU